AUACUUACCUGGCAGGGGAGACAGCAUGAUCAGGCAGGUGGUUUUCCCAGGGCGAGGCUCAUCGUCUGCGCUCCGGGUGUGCUGCGCUUUCCCCAAACGCGGGAAACUCCACUGCAUCAUUUGUGUAGUGGGGGACUGCAUUUGCGCCCUCCCCUU
rnacentral:snRNA from 1 species